GAUGAAUGGAUGUUUUGAUUAUUUCAUGUAUUUCAUAAAUUUUAAAGGUUGUUUCACGAGCCAGUUACCACUCCAUGUGGUCACACUUUCUGUAAAAACUGUAUCGAGAGGAGCCUGGACCACAACCUCCGCUGUCCGCUCUGCAAGCAGCCGUUACAAGAGUACUUGAAGAAUAGGAAGUACAAUAUCACAGUUGUGGUUCUGGAUAUCAUGGCCUGCCUUUUCCCCUCACAGCUGGCCGAACGGAAACAAAUACAUGAGGCAGAGAUGGCAGAACUGUCAAACCUCACUAAGGACAUCCCUAUAUUUGUUUGCACUGUGGCCUACCCUGGGGUGCCGUGUCCUUUGCACAUCUUCGAGCCUCGAUACCGACUGAUGAUGCGUCGCUGUAUGGAGACAGGAACGAAAAAGUU